GACGAACGCUGGCGGCGUGCUUAAUACAUGCAAGUCGAACGAAGUCCUAUCGGUGGCAACACCGAGAACGACUUAGUGGCGAACGGGUGAGUAACACGUGAGAAAUCUGCCCCGAAGACUGGGAUAACCACGGGAAACUGUGGCUAAUACCGGAUGGUCUCUUCUGAUCGCAUGGUCGGAUGAGUAAAUGGAUUCCGCUUCGGGAGGAUCUCGCGGCCUAUCAGCUAGUUGGUGGGGUAAUGGCCCACCAAGGCAUCGACGGGUAGCUGGUCUGAGAGGACGAUCAGCCACACUGGGACUGAGACACGGCCCAGACUCCUACGGGAGGCAGCAGUAGGGAAUCUUGCGCAAUGGGCGAAAGCCUGACGCAGCAACGCCGCGUGGGGGAUGAAGGCUCUCGGGUCGUAAACCCCUUUCAGCAGGGACGAAAUUGACGGUACCUGCAGAAGAAGCCCCGGCCAACUACG
rnacentral:rRNA from 1 species